rnacentral:rRNA from 1 species
AUAGCUCAGUAACACGUGGCCAAGCUACCCUUCAGACCAGAAUAACCUCGGGAAACUGAGGCUAAGACUGGAUACGGUAUGUAUGCUGGAAUGCGACAUACUCCAAACGUUCCGACGCUGAAGGAUGCGGCUGCGGCCGAUUAGGUAGACGGUGGGGUAACGGCCCACCGUGCCAAUAAUUGGUACGGGUGAUGAGAGUCAGAGCCCGGAGACGGAAUCUGAGACAAGAUUCCGGGCCCUACGGGGCGCAGCAGGCGCGAAACCUUUACACUGCACGCAAGUGCGAUAGGGGAAUCCCAAGUGCGAGGGCAUACUAGCCCUCGCUUUUGUUGACUGUAAGGAGGUCAACGAAUAAGAGCUGGGCAAGACCGGUGCCAGCCGCCGCGGUAAUACCGGCAGCUCGAGUGAUGUCCAAUAUUAUUGGGCCUAAAGCGUCCGUAGCUGGCCGCGCAAGUCCAUCGGGAAAUCCACCUGCUCAACAGGUGGGCGCCCGGUAGAAACUGCGUGGCUUGGGACCGGAAGGCGCGACGGGUACGUCCGGGGUAGGAGUGAAAUCCCGUAAUCCUGGACGGACCGCCGAUGGCGAAAGCACGUCGCGAGAACGGAUCCGACAGUGAGGGACGAAAGCCAGGGUCUCGAACCGGAUUAGAUACCUGGGUAGCCCUGGCCGUAAACAAUGUCUGCUAGGUGUGGCUCCCACUACGAGUGGGUGCUGUGCCGUAGGGAAGCCGCUAAGCAGA